UACGUAGGGACCAAGCGUUGUUCGGAUUUACUGGGCGUAAGGGCGGCGUAGGCGGCUUAACAAGUCACUUGUGAAAUCUCCGGGCUUAACUCGGAACGGCCAAGUGAAACUGUCAAGCUAGAGUGCAGAAGGGGCAAUCGGAAUUCUUGGUGUAGCGGUGAAAUGCGCAGAUAUCGGGAGGAACACCUAUGGCGAAGGCAGCUCGCUGGGACGUUACUGACGCUGAGACGCGAAAGCGUGGGGAGCGAACAGG
rnacentral:rRNA from 1 species